AGGCUCCCAGUAGACGACUGGGUUGAUAGGCCGGAUAUGGAAGCACGGUAACGUGUGGAGUUGACCGGUACUAAUAGGCCGAGGGCUUGUCCUC
rfam:Streptomyces swartbergensis strain HMC13 scaffold576.1, whole genome shotgun sequence.